GACGAACGCUGGCGGCGUGCUUAACACAUGCAAGUCGAACGGAAAGGCCCUGCUUUUGUGGGGUUCUCGAGUGGCGAACGGGUGAGUAACACGUGAGUAACCUGCCCUUGACUUUGGGAUAACUUCAGGAAACUGGGGCUAAUACCGGAUAUGAGCUCCUGCUGCAUGGUGGGGGUUGGUAAGUUUCGGCGGUUGGGGAUGGACUCGCGGCUUAUCAGCUUGUUGGUGGGGUGGUGGCUUACCAAGGCUUUGACGGGUAGCCGGCCUGAGAGGGUGACCGGCCACAUAGGGCCUGGGAUACGGCCCAGACUCCUACGGGAGGCAGCAGUGGGGAAUAUUGCACAAUGGGCGGAAGCAUGAUGGAGCAACGCCGCGUGCGGGAUGACGGCCUUCGGGUUGUAAACCGCUUUCGCGUGUGACGAAGCGUGAGUGACGGUAAUGGGUAAAGAAGCACCGGCUAACUACGUG
rnacentral:rRNA from 1 species